GUGCCCGUAACUCAGUGGUAGAGUGUGAGAUUGCAAUCAAAACGCCCAAGCGUCGCACCAAUUGUAAUAUCUUGAAGCCCCGUGUUCGACCCACGGCGGGCACU